UACGUAGGGUCCGAGCGUUGUCCGGAAUUAUUGGGCGUAAAGGGCUCGUAGGCGGUCCGUCACGUCGGGAGUGAAAACUCAGGGCUCAACCCUGAGCGUGCUUCCGAUACGGGCGGACUAGAGGUAUGCAGGGGAGAACGGAAUUCCUGGUGUAGCGGUGGAAUGCGUAGAGAUCGGGAAGAACAUCAGUGGCGAAGGCGGCCUGCUGGGCGUGUUGCUGACGCUGAGGCGCGACAGCGUGGGGAGCAAACAG
rnacentral:rRNA from 1 species